rnacentral:rRNA from 1 species
UACGAAGGGGGCUAGCGUUGCUCGGAAUCACUGGGCGUAAAGGGUGCGUAGGCGGGUCUUUAAGUCAGGGGUGAAAUCCUGGAGCUCAACUCCAGAACUGCCUUUGAUACUGGCAAUCUCGAGUCCGGAAGAGGUUGGUGGAACAGCUAGUGUAGAGGUGAAAUUCGUAGAUAUUCGCAAGAACACCAGUGGCGAAGGCGGCUCACUGGCCCGGUACUGACGCUGAGGUGCGAAAGCGUGGGGAGCAAACAGGG